rnacentral:rRNA from 1 species
GUAGGCGGCAAGCGUUGUCCGGAAUUAUUGGGCGUAAAGCGCGCGCAGGCGGUUCUUUAAGUCUGAUGUGAAAGCCCACGGGCUCAACCGUGGAGGGUCAUUGGAAACUGGAGAACUUGAGUACAGAAGAGGAAAGCGGAAUUCCACGUGUAGCGGUGAAAUGCGUAGAGAUGUGGAGGAACACCAGUGGCGAAGGCGGCUUUCUGGUCUGUAACUGACGCUGAGGCGCGAAAGCGUGGGGAGCAAACAGGAUUAGAUACCCUGGUAGUCCACGCCGUAAACGAUGAGUGCUAAGUGUUAGGGGGUUUCCGCCCCUUAGUGCUGCAGCUAACGCAUUAAGCACUCCGCCUGGGGAGUACGGCCGCAAAGGCUG